GCCUCCUCCCACGCCACAGGUGGUGAUGCCCACACACACACAGUGACGCCUCCUCCCACGUCACAGGUGGUGAUGCCCACACACACAGUGACGCCUCCUCCCACACCACAGGUGGUGAUGCCCACACACACAGUGACGCCUCCUCCCACGCCACAGGUGGUGAUGCCCACACACAGUGACGCCUCCUCCCACGCCACAGGCAGCAGGUGCACCCUGCUGACUCCUGAGCCGAGAAGGAUCCCAGCCAGCGGACAG